rnacentral:lncRNA from 1 species
ACCAAUUUGUAAAAAUAGAAUGUCGGUAAUGAUAAUAUAUCGCAAAGAAAAGAGAAGUAAAAAUAAAGAACACAUAGAUUUUUACGUGGUAACCCUUUCGGGAAAAAACAACGGGCAGAGGAGAAGAAAAUUCACUAUGUCAAAUUCGAAUUAAUUACAAGAGGGGUAGACUGUAUCUACUUAUAGGCUUGUAAAACCAUAUUCUAAUAAGAGUGUAGUAAGAUUGAAACACCU